AUGGCCUGUCAUGAUCUGAAUCAACAGGAGGAAAUGGCCGUGGAGGAUCUGGACCCGAUAGCAGGAAUGCACAUCACGGAAGCACUCCGUGUCCAGCUCGACGUGCAGCGCCGCCUCCAACAGCAGCUCGAGAUGCAGCGUAGUCUGCAGGUGAGGAUAGAGGAGCAGGGUAAGAGGCUGCAGAAGAUGUUCGAGGACCAACUCAAGGCCAACAGGAACAUGGCAAGAUCGCCGCAGCAGCAUGGCACUGUCGGCAUCCACACGGAGCUGCAGGACAACGCCGUGUUCGUCGUCGACGACGAGGCGUAG
rnacentral:rRNA from 1 species